rnacentral:lncRNA from 1 species
AAAGCGCAAUCACAAAAUACAUAACAUUCAAACUGAAUGUUCUGUAUACACGUGUCUUGACAUAGGGUCUGACAUCUCACCCAAAUCCUGCACAACCUUAUUUUAAACACCCUGUAGGAACCUAUUAUCUCAUGUGAAGACAACACUUGUGACAACUUGUGAAAACUCUAGGUUUUACCAAAAUUGAUGCCAACACAUAGAACCAACAAACUCCCCCUUUGGCAAAUUUUGGCUAAAACAUACAUUAGAUCAUUUGUUUCACA